GGGAAAGGUUUACCCCCGAAAUCAAGCCAUUUGUUUAUAGCUGGAAAUUUAAGUUUACUGAAUUCACUAUGUGAGUGUUUUUCAACCUCAAGAACUUUAUCGCGUGUAGACUUCAACAACCCCCAAAAUUCUUCAACCAGAAUUUCUGGAGAAUUCCUGGAGUUGAAAAUCACACUUGGUAAAGUUCCCUGAGGUUGAGAAAUACUGCACUAAGUAAUACUCCUUUGAAAUUUUUCUCUUUUUUUUUCUUAUGGCAGGGUGAACCUGGUUCCCCAGGACGUCUGGGAAUACCAGGGCUUCCAGGACGUGCCAUUACAGGACCCAAGGGUGACAUUGGAUUACCUGGGCCACCGGGGCCAAUUGGAGAGCAAGGGAUAGGAAUUCCUGGGGCUAAGGGUGACCGUGGACAGCCAGGACUUCCUGGUCCAUUUGGCCCCAAGGGAGAUGGCUAUCCAGGCCUACCUGGUCCUCCUGGUCUUCCUGGAGUUCCUGGAGAGGCAGGCCCAGAUGGGAUUGGAUUACCUGGACCAAAGGGUGAUCCAGGUACAAGAGGACCAUCUGGUCUCCCAGGUGCAACAGGAGAAGGCCUUCCAGGACCAAAAGUAA